UGUGUGUGUGUGUGUGUGUGUGUGUGUGUGUGUGUGUGUGUGUGUGUGUGUGCAUGUGUGUGUUAAGUACAAGCAAGUGGCUUCGUUCUCCUCCAGUGGUAGUUGCUCAAGGGUAGCAGGGCUGAAAUCAAAGUGCAUGGCUGAGGCCGGCGAGGGAAGACACUCCUGGAGGUCCCCCGAGUAACAGACACUGUCGCUCUG